CCUACGGGCGGCAGCAGUGAGGAAUAUUGGUCAAUGGACGCAAGUCUGAACCAGCCAUGCCGCGUGCAGGAAGACGGCUCUAUGAGUUGUAAACUGCUUUUGUACGAGGGUAAACGCAGAUACGCGUAUCUGUCUGAAAGUAUCUUACGAAUAAGGAUCGGCUAACUCCGUGCCAGCAGCCGCGGUAAUACGGAGGAUUCAAGCGUUAUCCGGAUUUAUUGGGUUUAAAGGGUGCGUAGGCGGGCGGUUAAGUUAGGGGUUAAAUCCCGGGGCUCAACUUCGGACAUGCCUCUGAUACUGUUCGGCUAGAGAGUAGUUGCGGUAGGCGGAAUGUAUGGUGUAGCGGUGAAAUGCUUAGAGAUCAUGCAGAACACCGAUUGCGAAGGCAGCUUACCGGGCUACGUCUGACGUUGAGGCACGAAAGCGUGGGGAGCAAACAGGAUUAGAUACCCGGGUAGUC
rnacentral:rRNA from 1 species